GUGACAGGAGACCGGAUGACACUUCAAGCAAGCGCAAGGUUUCUUGGUCUGCAGAGCGUCAUUGCACAAUCCAUUUUAAUCUCAGCCAUCGUGGGAAGAAGAUCUUGGGAAGCCAGUAGACACUCCAGUUAUAGGAAGCCAGUGGACAAUCAAGUAGUACCUCUGCUAUAAAAUAGAAGCUGUCGACAAUAAUCAAGUAAUUGAAUUAUAAAAAAUAAGUCAACUCUGGAAUGAGAAUCCUGUAUUAUCUUACUAGCUUGCUUGCUGCAGUAGACUUCUUUGCUUUAUUAACUAUUGGAUGGCAACCCAUAAGAGACGAUAUCUGCUGAGGGAUCAAAAAGACUUUUCUGGAAACUGAAUUUAUUAAACUGAAUACGCAUAGAGAGUUCAAGGAUGUCAUUUUUGAGCCGUGUCAAGUGGCUCCGCCGGCGACUUGAUUGGUCCACGCGAUUGUCAAGUCAUUCAUUUGCGUGAUGGGCUGCAACGCAAGAGGACCUCCAGGACCAAGGGAGAGAGGACCCAGGGAAGUACCCAAUAAUAAUAAGUGUGUUAUGAAAAUGAGCAAAAUUAAACAAAUCAUUGUCGGGUUCUCAUUCAUUCAUUCGCGUUUGCUUCCAUUGUAUUUAAAUUUUGUGCAAUUUCUUUUAACAAUUUGUGAUAUAGACAGUAGAUUGUGAACGGCAUACGUAGUU